GACGAACGCUGGCGGCGUGCUUAACACAUGCAAGUCGAACGCUGAAGACCUGGCUUUUGUUGGGUUGGAUGAGUGGCGAACGGGUGAGUAACACGUGAGUAACCUGCCCUCUUCUUUGGGAUAACGCCCGGAAACGGGUGCUAAUACUGGAUAUUCACUGGCCUUCGCAUGGGGGUUGGUGGAAAGGUUUGUUCUGGUGGGGGAUGGGCUCGCGGCCUAUCAGCUUGUUGGUGGGGUGAUGGCCUACCAAGGCUUUGACGGGUAGCCGGCCUGAGAGGGUGACCGGUCACAUUGGGACUGAGAUACGGCCCAGACUCCUCGGGAGGCAGCAGUGGGGAAUAUUGCACAAUGGGCGAAAGCCUGAUGCAGCGACGCCGCGUGAGGGAUGGAGGCCUUCGGGUUGUAAACCUCUUUCGCUCAUGGUCAAGCCGCAACUGUGGGUUGUGGUGAGGGUAGUGGGUAAAGAAGCGCCGGCUAACUACGUG
rnacentral:rRNA from 1 species